GUUGAACGCUGGCGGCAUGCUUUACACAUGCAAGUCGAACGGUAACAGGGUGCUUGCACCGCUGACGAGUGGCGAACGGGUGAGUAAUGCGUCGGAACGUGCCGAGUAGUGGGGGAUAACGCAGCGAAAGUUGUGCUAAUACCGCAUACGUACUGAGGUAGAAAGUGGGGGACCUUCGGGCCUCACGCUAUUCGAGCGGCCGACGUCUGAUUAGCUAGUAGGUGAGGUAAAGGCUCACCUAGGCGACGAUCAGUAGCGGGUCUGAGAGGAUGAUCCGCCACACUGGGACUGAGACACGGCCCAGACUCCUACGGGAGGCAGCAGUGGGGAAUUUUGGACAAUGGGCGAAAGCCUGAUCCAGCCAUGCCGCGUGUCUGAAGAAGGCCUUCGGGUUGUAAAGGACUUUUGUCAGGGAGGAAAUCCCUAGUGCUAAUAACACUGGGGGAUGACAGUACCUGAAGAAUAAGCACCGGCUAACUACGUGCCAGCCGCCGCUGUAA
rnacentral:rRNA from 1 species